rnacentral:rRNA from 1 species
AACGAACGCUGGCGGCAGGCUUAACACAUGCAAAUCGAACGCAUCGCAAGAUGAGUGGCAGACGGGUGAGUAACGCGUGGGAACAUACCCUUUUCUACGGAAUAGCUCUGGGAAACUGGAAUUAAUACCGUAUACGCCCUACGGGGGAAAGAUUUAUCGGGGAAGGAUUGGCCCGCGUUGGAUUAGCUAGUUGGUGGGGCAAAGGCCUACCAAGGCGACGAUCCAUAGCUGGUCUGAGAGGAUGAUCAGCCACAUUGGGACUGAGACACGGCCCAAACUCCUACGGGAGGCAGCAGUGGGGAAUAUUGGACAAUGGGCGCAAGCCUGAUCCAGCCAUGCCGCGUGAGUGAUGAAGGCCUUAGGGUUGUAAAGCUCUUUCACCGAUGAAGAUAAUGACGGUAGUCGGAGAAGAAGCCCCGGCUAACUUCGUGCCAGCAGCCGCCGUAA